GAGGCCCAGCGGGGAUCUGUGGUCACUGUUCUCUUACCAGGACUGGAGGUGGACAAUAAGGUUCCUUUGUAAAUAAUUGGUAGAAAUUUUCGCUUCGGGGCUGCAGUGGGAGUCGCACUGGGAAGAGGGAGGCGUGGCUGCUGAAUCAGAG
rnacentral:lncRNA from 1 species